rnacentral:rRNA from 1 species
UUAAAUGAAUUGACGGGACCGCACAAGCAGCGGAGCGUGUGGUUUAAUUCGAUGAUACACGAAGAACCUUACCCAGGCUUGACAUGUUGGUGGUAGGGAUCCGAAAGGUGACCGACCCUUCGGGGAGCCUUCACAGGUGCUGCAUGGCUGUCGUCAGCUCGUGUCGUGAGAUGUCCGGUUAAGUCCGGUAACGAGCGCAACCCUCGCUGUGUGUUAUAUGUGUCACACGGGACUGCCGGUAUCAAGCCGGAGGAAGGUGGGGAUGACGUCAAGUCAGCAUGGCCUUUAUGUCUGGGGCUACACACACGCUACAAUGGCCAGUACAAUAGGUUGCAAGACCGCGAGGUGGAGCCAAUCCUUAAAGCUGGUCUCAGUUCGGAUUGCAGGCUGCAACUCGCCUGCAUGAAGUCGGAGUUGCUAGUAACCGCGCGUCAGCCAUAGUGCGGUGAAUACGUUCCCGGGCCUU